GGUAGGAGUGAUUUCUGUAUAGGGUCCAGCUGCGGAUACAGGACUCGGAUUGGUGCACGGAUAUUUAAAUUUGGACCAUUAUGGAGGGAUCAGUAUUCUGACCUGAACCUUGAGAAAGACCCUAGAACGGGGGUAGAAUCGCGUUGGUGUUCCUGUGGUGGCGCUAGUGAGCGGAGCAUUAUGAUCGGGAAGCAGCAGUUACGAUCGCGAGUCGUGUGGGUAUAUCCGGAUUUCCCAUAUUGAACACAUGCGCUGAUAGGGACUGUUUGGCCACAGUUCCCGUUUUUUCUGAUUGGCAAGCAUUUGGACAAGAGAUGUUCUAGAACUGUUUAUGGCAACAAAAAAAAUGCCAUUACUAUAUGUGGUUGCCCAGCAACGGUGUGAAAUGGAGACGUAAUCCCCGUCCAGUGCUCCCGCCGACAGACAGAGCCCUGUGAGUGGCUAGGAUAAGCAGAGGGAAGCGUCUUCAAUGACGUCUUGAGCUUAGGGUUGCUUGGCAACGGGAUUCUCGUUCCCGCGAUAGACUCCCCGCUCGACGCAGCAGGCUGACGUCACCACUCCGUGACCUGGAUGCCGCACAGUGUGUUAUACUGUAGCCGCCGGCGCCUGGACAGGAAAUUAUGUCAAUCACACUUAUAGCUGUGAGGUGGACCUUGAGACACUACGUCAGGGAGUGGAUUGGAUAGUGCUAUUUGAAUCCAUCUGGUUUGUCCUUUUAUUUUUGAAGUCCAAUAGGAUUUAAUAGAAAGGAAUACAUUCUCAGCAAUUCCACGCUUUGUUUGUAUUGACAUAUUUUGGUGAAGCCAUUUUUUGGUAUGUAUAACCGCUUUAAUUAACCAACUGAGUAUCUUCAAUGUGAUCAUUCUCAUUCAAACCAGAUGUUAUUCUUACAGUCAUCAUACAAUUUGUUUAUCAGUGUACAUCCCAUGAA